GAAAGCAUGCUUCAUCCGCUGCUGGUACAACUGCCCAUGACAAAUAGCCGCCAGCCUCUUUUCCUCAAUCAGGCUCAACUCUUCAUACCGAGUCCUUACCCAUUCAGCCUCUUGCAGUUUCACGUCCAUCAGGACUCUCAGAGAGGGAAUUUGAACCUAAAUCGGUAGCACCGCUUCCAUCCCACACACGAGCGAGAAAGGCGUUGCCCCGGUAGAUGUACGCACCGACGUUCUAUACCCAUGCAAUGCAAAUGGCAACAUCUCAUGCCAAU
rnacentral:lncRNA from 1 species